AUAUCACCAUAGUGGCGGACGGGUGAGUAACGCGUGGAUAACCUGCCUCGUACUGGGGAAUAGCAGCUGGAAACGGCUGGUAAUACCGCAUAAGCGCACGAUGCCGCAUGACAUUGUGUGAAAAGAUUUAUCGGUACGAGAUGGAUCCGCGUCUGAUUAGCCAGUUGGCGGGGUAACGGCCCACCAAAGCGACGAUCAGUAGCCGGCCUGAGAGGGUGAACGGCCACAUUGGGACUGAGACACGGCCCAGACUCCUACGGGAGGCAGCAGUGGGGAAUAUUGCACAAUGGGCGAAAGCCUGAUGCAGCGACGCCGCGUGAGUGAAGAAGUAUUUCGGUAUGUAAAGCUCUAUCAGCAGGGAAGAAAGGCCCGCAAGGGAGAUGACGGUACCUGACUAAGAAGCUCCGGCUAAAUACGUGCCAGCAGCCGCGGUAAUACGUAUGGAGCAAGCGUUAUCCGGAUUUACUGGGUGUAAAGGGAGCGUAGACGGCAUAGCAAGUCUGAAGUGAAAUCCCGGGGCUCAACCCCGGAACUGCUUUGGAAACUGUUAAGCUGGAGUGCAGGAGAGGUAAGCGGAAUUCCUAGUGUAGCGGUGAAAUGCGUAGAUAUUAGGAGGAACACCAGUGGCGAAGGCGGCUUACUGGACUGUAACUGACGUUGAGGCUCGAAAGCGUGGGGAGCAAACAGGAUUAGACACCCUG
rnacentral:rRNA from 1 species